rnacentral:rRNA from 1 species
GACGAACCGUGCGAACGUUGUUCGGAAUCACUGGGCUUAAAGGGCGCGUAGGCGGGCGGCCAAGUCAGGGGUGAAAUCUUUCGGCUCAACCGGAAAAGUGCCUCUGAUACUGGUCGCCUCGAGGGAGGUAGGGGUCUGCGGAACUUCCGGUGGAGCGGUGAAAUGCGUAGAUAUCGGAAGGAACGCCGGUGGCGAAAGCGGCGGACUGGACCGCUUCUGACGCUGAGGCGCGAAAGCCAGGGGAGCAAACGGG